AAUGACCUCAACUCAGACAAGACUACCCGCUGAAUUUAAGCAUAUCAAUAAGCGGAGGA
rnacentral:rRNA from 1 species